AAUGUGGUGGCAGAUUAGUGCUGCAGAUUUAAACCCUGCCUAAGAAAAAUUUUCCCUCAUUA
rnacentral:tRNA from 1 species